rnacentral:tRNA from 1 species
GGCUUCGUAGCUUAGCAGUAAAGCGCCGCUCUCAUGAGGCGGAGAUCGGGAGUGCAAUUCUCCUCGGAGCCA